CAAUAGGCUAAGAUUCCUCAGGAAUGCUGCCAGAAGCUGGUGUCUGACUAUUCAUUCUAUUUGCAGCAGGUCAUAAUAGCAAAAGGGUGCUCUACUAAGUACUAAAGAUGCUUGCCAUGAAGGGGUUGAAUAAUUGUGAGACUGGAGAAGUCAUUAUAAGUUGCAUUUUCAGUUGAAUGUGGGGAAACUACUUGAAGCAUUCAUUGUGUUCAGCUGGUUUGAUUUGUUCAUUGCAAAUAGUUAAAAGUCUGCACAUUUUGACAAUAAAUCUGAUUUUCAGUGGAG